UACGAAGGGGGCUAGCGUUGUUCGGAAUUACUGGGCGUAAAGCGCAUGUAGGCGGAUAUUUAAGUCAGGGGUGAAAUCCCGGGGCUCAACCCCGGAACUGCCUUUGAUACUGGGUAUCUAGAGUCCGGAAGAGGUGAGUGGAAUUCCGAGUGUAGAGGUGAAAUUCGUAGAUAUUCGGAGGAACACCAGUGGCGAAGGCGGCUCACUGGUCCGGUACUGACGCUGAGGUGCGAAAGCGUGGGGAGCAAACAGG
rnacentral:rRNA from 1 species